UGAACGCUGGCGGCGUGCUUAACACAUGCAAGUCGAACGAAACACCUUAUUUGAUUUUCUUCGGAACUGAAGAUUUGGUGAUUGAGUGGCGGACGGGUGAGUAACGCGUGGGUAACCUGCCCUGUACAGGGGGAUAACAGUCAGAAAUGACUGCUAAUACCGCAUAAGACCACAGCACCGCAUGGUGCAGGGGUAAAAACUCUGGUGGUACAGGAUGGACCCGCGUCUGAUUAGCUGGUUGGUGAGGUAACGGCUCACCAAGGCGACGAUCAGUAGCCGGCUUGAGAGAGUGAACGGCCACAUUGGGACUGAGACACGGCCCAAACUCCUACGGGAGGCAGCAGUGGGGAAUAUUGCACAAUGGGGGAAACCCUGAUGCAGCGACGCCGCGUGAGUGAAGAAGUAUCUCGGUAUGUAAAGCUCUAUCAGCAGGGAAGAGAAUGACGGUACCUGACUAAGAAGCCCCGGCUAACUACGUGCCAGCAGCCGCGGUAAUACGUAGGGGGCAAGCGUUAUCCGGAAUUACUGGGUGUAAAGGGUGCGUAGGUGGUAUGGCAAGUCAGAAGUGAAAACCCAGGGCUUAACUCUGGGACUGCUUUUGAAACUGUCAGACUAGAGUGCAGGAGAGGUAAGCGGAAUUCCUAGUGUAGCGGUGAAAUGCGUAGAUAUUAGGAGGAACAUCAGUGG
rnacentral:rRNA from 1 species